UGAAGACUGUGACCUUUACUUUGUGUGUGCUGAAACAUGUACAUAGUGAACAACAGACACAAUUUCAAAAAUGUACUACCAGCGUACUUUCAAAUAUCAACAUGAGCCUGAUAAGAAAAAAAAACUGAACAAUAGUUUCACCUCUGUACAAAUUAAUUCAAGGCAAGACCAUAAAAUUGGCUUGGAAUUGUGUCUUUACUGUGGGGACCAUUUGGGGAAGCAAACAGAAUUGUGUCUUUACUGUGGGGACCAUUUGGGGAACCAAACAAUCCUAUCAAGUGUUAACGUACAUAUGAUAAUACAUCACAUCUGGUGCAUGGGGUGACCCAAAAUCUCAAGGACUAGGUCUCAUAAAUUAUGUUCAACACAUUAACUUUGCAGUUUUACCCAUAGUAAAUGUAUUUUCAACACAGUUUCAUGUGUGUACAUAAUUGAGCAUUUGCAUUUUUCAGAGAUAAGAUGACUAUCAAAAUUACAGUUGCUUUUGAGCCAUAAGGCCCUGCUACGUAUACAGCAUGUGCUAGUUAGUCAAUUCUGUGUUAAUGCUUACAAUUCAAAAAGCUACACAGUAUCACGUCUUCAUAAAAAUACAAUAACCAAUAUAGAAAUCAACCAACUCCAUUUCAAACCCAAAUAUUAAACACCACACGAGAAUGAGAUGGAAGGCAUGUUGAGCCAUAGGACUAACACCGGUGGAGUUUGGACCUAGCCUACAUACAAGCACAUUCCACAGUGCCUUGUGACAGCAAGAGGGCACUACAACAACAAACAAAUCAAACCCAAUCCAAAUGAUUUUACAGACAGUAUCAACAUAACCAUCUACUUUACUGUUGUCAUGUUAAUACAAAAUAGAACCUCAAUAAUAUAUCAACAGCUAUAAUUUCAAUGCUUUCAAAGCAAGAUCAAUCAUCAGUUUCCAAGUAUGUGAUAAAACUGAAAAAUAUCAACACAAAUGUAACAUCUAUCAAUGAACAUGGGCAUGCUAUUCUUUUUCAAGCAUUAAUGGAAUGUACUGUAAAAGCACUGCAUCAUUCUUAGAAGUCACUAUGGUCAGAAUCAGGGCCGGUUAGCGCCCCCGGAAGCUAGGGGUCUCAACUUACUAUUGAGAAUAAGAACAAUAGAAUACACCAAGUGCAAUUUAGAAAUGUGAAAAUGUGCAUUUUGAAAUAUGCAUCAGCAGUUUCUCUUAUAUCAGUCACUCAAAUAGCCAUGUCAGCAAACAAAUUUUGAUUGGUAAUUAGUCUAGCCAACUAUCUAAACUUGUAGUAAUCAUGGCCAAAUAAUUGUUUUCUCUCCCCCCCAUGGCAAAAUGUGUAGAAUUGCCAAAAACUUGCUUUAAAACUGAAACAUUUCCUCUAUACCCCAUGGAAGAAUUUGUAGAAUUGCAAGAAAUUAACUUUAAAACUACACAUUUUCUCUCCACCAUCAAGAGGGGGGUCACUAAAAUGGUUUGCCGUGAGCUGGGGGGCCCUCCAACCAAAUCUCGCUUAGGGCCCACAAAAGGCUAGUCAGAAUGUCCCCAUUUACUUUGCCAUAAAACCAGAGUCACUUGACAGGGAGCGGAUAAUGUGAUGGGGUGAAUUGGCACUUUAAAAGCUAUCACUUAAAAAGGGAGUUUCACAAGAAAAUUCUAACUGAUACAUGUACAGCUACAUGACUCGUAUAUAAUGUGUCUCGUACAUUGCUCUAGUCCAAAAUAAAAAAAUACAUACAGAAAAAGUCUAAAGUUUGGACACACCUACUCAUUCAAGGGUUUUUCUACAUUUUUCUACAUUGUAGAAUAAUAGUGAAUACAUUGAAACUAUGAAAUAACACAUAUGGAAUCAUGUAGUAACUAAAAAAGUGUAUUUGAGAUUCUUCAAAGUAGCCACCCUUUGACUUGUUGACAGCUUUGCACACUCUUGACAUUCUCUCAACCAGCUUCAUGAGGAAUGCUUUUCCAACAGUCUUGAAGGAGUUCCCACAUAUGCUGACCACUUGUAGGCUGCUUUUCCUUCACUCUGCGGUCCAACUCAUCCCAAACCAUCUCAAUUGGGUUGAGGUCGGGUGAUUGUGGAGGCCAGGUCAUCUGAUUCAGCACUCUCUUUCUUGGUCAAAUAGCCUUUACACAGCCUGGAGGUGUGUUUUAGGUCAUUGUCCUGUUGAAAAACAAAUGAUAGUCCCACUAAGCACAAACCAGAUGGGAUGGUAUAUUGCUGCAGAAUGCUGUGGUAGCCAUGCUGGUUAAGUGUGCCUUAAAUUCUAAAUAAAUUAGUGUCACCAGCAAAGCAACCCCAAAACCAUCCCACCUCCUCCUCCCUGCUUCACGGUGGAAACCACACAAGCGGAGAUCAUUCGUUCACCUACUUUGUGUUUCACAAAGACAGCAUUUGGAACCAAAAAUCUCAAAUUUGGACUCAUCAGACCAAAGGACAGAUUUCCACCGGUCUAAUGUCCAUUGCUCAUGUUUCUUAGUACAAGCAAGUCUCUUCUUCUUAUUGAUGUCCUUUAGUAGUGGUUUCUUUGCAGCAAUUUGACCAUGAAGGCCUGACUCACGCAGUCUCCUCAGAACAGUUGAUGUUGAGAUGUGUCUGUUACUUGAACUCUGAGAAGCAUUUAUUUGGGCUGCAAUUUCUGAGGCUGGUAGCUCUAAUGAACUUAUCCUCUGCAGCUAGAGGUAACUCUGGGUUUUCCUUUCCUGUGGCGGUCCUCAUGAGAGCCAGUUUCAUCAUACCGUUUGAUGGAUUUUGCGACUGCACUUGAAGAAACUUAAAGUUCUUUAAAUGUUCCAGAUUAAGACAUGAAGGUCAGUCAAAGUAAUGAUGGACUGUCAUUUCUCUUUGCUCAUUUAAGUGGUUCUUGCCAUAAUAUGGACUUGGUCUUUUACCAAAUAGGGCUAUCUUCUGUGUACUACCCCUACCUUGUCACAAGACAACUGUUUGGCUCAAACGCAUUAAGAAGGAACAAAAUUCCACAAAUUAACUUUUAACAAUGAACACCUGUUAAAUUAAAUGCAUUCUAGGUGACUACCUCAUGAAGCUGGUUGAGAAAAUGCCAAGAGUGUGCAAAGCUGUCAUCAAGGCAAAGGGUGGCUACUUUGAAGAAUCUAAAAUAUUAAAUAUAUUUUGAUUUGUUUAACACCUUCUUGGUUACUACCUGAUUCCAUAUGUGUUAUUUCAUAGUUUUGAUGUCUUCACUAUUAUUCUACAAUGUAGAAGAUAGUACAAAUAAAAACCCUGGAUUGAGUAGGUGUGUCCAAACUUUAACUGGUACUGUACAUCAAACCCAGGAUGGCAGGUCUAUUUUCAUGAUUUAGGAUUUAACAGAAUUGGGUGCUUGUUAUUGUGAAUACUGCCACAGUCCAGAAAUAGAAGGAUCCCAAAAUCUCCACAUUAUAGUGACUUUGCUGCUACAAAUAGAAAUGUGGUACUAUGCAAUGUAUUGUGAGUUUUUGUGUCAUGACCCGCCUCGGGCCAUUUGUUGUGGUUUAAAACCACAGUACAUAUUUUCAUACCAGAAAGUAAUAGUACAUUUAUGUUGUGUUUACCAAAGCUGACAAACAUUAUCUUUCAGAGAAGCCAUAACACUUACUAAUCACUGCACAUCAGUGGAGGCCAGUGAAGGGAGGACAGUUCAUGGUAAUGACUGGAAUUAAAUGAUAUCAAAUACAUGGAGACCAUGUAAUACAUGUGUUAUUGUUCUUCCCAUCGAGGACCACUUUGGAAACAAGCGUUUUAAUUAAUACUUUCAAGUGAUAUCCUCUGGAUCCACAUUGUGCAUUUUGUUGUAUAUGUCUGUUCCCCAAAAUAAAUUAAAUUCAGUGUGUUAGAUAUUGCUCCAUUCCAAACAUUACUAUGAGCCUGUCCUCCUGUUAGAUACUGCUCCAUUCCAAACAUUACUAUGAACCUGUCCUCCUGUUAGAUAUUGCUCCAUUCCAAACAUUACUAUGAGCCUGUCCUCCUGUUAGAUACUGCUCCAUUCCAAACAUUACUAUGAGCCUGUCCUCCUGUUAGAUACUGCUCCAUUCCAAACAUUACUAUGAGCCUGUCCUCCUGUUAGAUAUUGCUCCAUUCCAAACAUUACUAUGAGCCUGUCCUCC
ensembl:lncRNA